GAGACCUGCCGAUCAGCGCUACUUGCUAUCCAGACUCAGAAGUUUGAACAGAAAGAGAAGAAAUUCAUUUGAAGUUCAUUUUUUAUGCAAUGGAGAAAAGGAUUCUCAAUCGUGCAAAUAAAUCAACAAGUUUUAAUGUCUUAAUCACAUUUUUCAAUUAAGUCCGGAUUUAUCAAGUAUUCUUAAGGAAAGAACACUUGAUUCGUAUUAGGGUACCCUGCAAAACAAAGCAUAAUAAAAUGAUGCCUUAAAGAAAGGCCGGUUAGUUUUCACAACAAUUGUAGUCCACUUUAUGCAAAUUAAUUACAUA
rnacentral:lncRNA from 1 species